rnacentral:rRNA from 1 species
GAUGAACGCUGGCGGCGUGCCUAAUACAUGCAAGUCGAGCGAACAGACGAGGAGCUUGCUCCUCUGACGUUAGCGGCGGACGGGUGAGUAACACGUGGAUAACCUACCUAUAAGACUGGGAUAACUUCGGGAAACCGGAGCUAAUACCGGAUAAUAUAUUGAACCGCAUGGUUCAAUAGUGAAAGACGGUUUUGCUGUCACUUAUAGAUGGAUCCGCGCCGCAUUAGCUAGUUGGUAAGGUAACGGCUUACCAAGGCAACGAUGCGUAGCCGACCUGAGAGGGUGAUCGGCCACACUGGAACUGAGACACGGUCCAGACUCCUACGGGAGGCAGCAGUAGGGAAUCUUCCGCAAUGGGCGAAAGCCUGACGGAGCAACGCCGCGUGAAUGAUGAAGGUCUUCGGAUCGUAAAACUCUGCUAUUAGGGAAGAACAAAUGUGUAAGUAACUAUGCACGUCUUGACGGUACCUAAUCAGAAAGCCACGGCUAACUACGUG